AGCACAUUCAGUAACUGGGAAGCAGGACAACCUAUCUACCAGAAUGGAAAUGAAGCCUGUGCUACCAUAGUGGUGAAAAAUGGAACCUGGACCAGUGAGCCAUGCAUAGCGCAAUAUCCUCUCUUCUGCUAUGGAGUUUACAAAUCAAAGAAAACAGUGGUGAGCAUGAAUAUCCAAACUGAUGCAGACCUUGAAAAUCCAGACAACCGCACCACCCUGAUGUAGCAGCUUCAAGCAUCACUUAGUAAGCAGGGUGUGACUGACUUCAAACUAACAUGGACGAAACAGCCAGUGCGGAAGAGCAGCAAGACAAGAUCCUUGUUGAACCUGUGACAUCAUCUCCCAGAAGAAUGUGCUACAGCAUUGUUCAUUCAAAGAAAGAUUACAUUACAUUUACUCUUAAAAUCGUUCACUCUUAAUGUUUAGCGUUAGUCAAUUAUAUUAUUCUAGACAUAUAAAUGUGUUUUAGUUACAUUAGCCACCUGUUAUCAUUAAUGUUGCGGCUGAACUGAGCUGAUUUAAGAGUGUGGAGAAAAUAAAGAAUGAAAUCCAGAGCAGAGCAGUCAAAUCAGACAGAUUUUAGAGAAGGGCUGUAGUCAUGUAGACAUGAUGAUGAACUUUAACUUUACUACUUUUACGAUAAUAUAUUUAAAUGUGGUUUCUUACAUUGCUGCAAGCUGUGAUGCCAGUUUUAAAAUGCAGGCAGUGACAGGUUCAGUCUUUCACAGUGAGUGCUCUGCUUUUAUGUCUUUUUCAAUGUAGCAUAACUAACACCACACUUUAUCUAGAGUUUAUCUUUCCCAUGAUGUUCUUCUUCUACAUUAACAAAAUGAUUGAUAUGCAUUAGAUCAGCGGUCCCCAACCCCCGGGCCUCGGACUGGUACCGGUUCGUGAGUCGUUUGGUACCGGGCCGCAAGAGUUGAGGCUCAGGUGUGAAAUGUAUG